GCCUCGCUAGCUCAAUUGGCAGAGCAGCGGAUUCUUAAUCCGCGGGUUGCAGGUUCGAGUCCUGCGCGGGGUA
rnacentral:tRNA from 1 species